UACGUAGGGGGCAAGCGUUGUCCGGAUUUAUUGGGCGUAAAGAGCGUGUAGGCGCCAGGUAGGUCCGUUGUGAAAACUCGAGGCUCAACCUCGAGACGUCGGCGGAAACCCUCUGGCUAGAGUCCGGAAGAGGAGAGUGGAAUUCCUGGUGUAGCGGUGAAAUGCGCAGAUAUCAGGAAGAACACCCGUGGCGAAGGCGGCUCUUUGGGACGGUACUGACGCUGAGACGCGAAAGCGUGGGGAGCAAACAGG
rnacentral:rRNA from 1 species